GACGUAGGGCGCGAGCGUUGUCCGGAUUUAUUGGGCGUAAAGAGCUCGUAGGCGGCUUGUCGCGUCGACCGUGAAAACUUGGGGCUCAACCCCAAGCCUGCGGUCGAUACGGGCAGGCUCGAGUUCGGUAGGGGAGACUGGAAUUCCUGGUGUAGCGGUGAAAUGCGCAGAUAUCAGGAGGAACACCGGUGGCGAAGGCGGGUCUCUGGGCCGUAACUGACACUGAGGAGCGAAAGCGUGGGGAGCGAACAGG
rnacentral:rRNA from 1 species